UGAGGUAUUUCACAGUAGAUAAACGAAAAAAUGAUUUGGAAAAUUAUACUUUUGUUGCCGUCUUAUAAUGUUUUAGUGAACGCUGGUGGAAGUUGUUCGCGUGGGACAUCGGCUGGAGACGCGGAACCAUUUCCAAGUAUUGGAGUAUGGAUAGAUUCACUAAAAGUAAUAACCAUUUCAGAUUGGAAUAAGCUCCGUUUCCUUGAGGACCAUGAUUAUCAAAUUGCAAGGGACGCAUUGGUUAAAAGUAGAUGUCCAACUAAAAUUUUGGAUGCACUUCUUGCGACCAGUCAUUGGGAUAGGUGGCCUUAUCAUUUAAAAUCAGAUCGGGCACCAUACGUUAAUCAAACGAAAAUGAGUCAAUUGACUUUUAGUCGAAUACCAGGCACACGAAUGGUAUACGUGACCCCUUAUCCAACACUUUAUGUGAAAUCACCAGGACUACUAUUUAUGUACGACAGUGCUUAACAAAUGGUGGCUUCUGAUUAAAAUCGUAGAGGCAGAAUUAAAUUUUGUAAACCUGAUUGUUCACGUACCUAUUACAUAAUGCAUAUUACGCUUGUUUAAAUCUUUUAUUUGUCUUUGC